AACGAACGCUGGCGGCAUGCCUAACACAUGCAAGUCGAACGAAACCUCCGGGGCUUGUGGCGCACGGCUGCGUAACGCGUGGGAACCUGCCCUUAGGUUCGGAAUAACUCCCCGAAAGGGGUGCUUAUACCGGAUAAUGUCUUCUGACCAAAGAUUUAUCGCCUUUGGUUGGGCCCGAGUGGUAUUAGCUAGUUGGUAGGGUUAAAGGCUACUAAGGCGAGGAUCCAUAGCUGGGCUGAGAGGAUGAUCAGCCACACUGGGACUGGGACACGGCCCAGACGCCUACGGGAGGCAGCGAUGGGGAAUAUUGGACAAUGGGCGAGAGCCUGAUACAGCAAUGCCGCGUGAGUGAUGAAGGCCUUGGAGUUGUAAAGCUCUUUUAACCGGGAUUAUAAUGACAGUACCUGGAUAAUAAGCUCCGGCUAACUCCGUG
rnacentral:rRNA from 1 species